AAGGGAAGCUGCCUUUUUUACCUCAGUGUCAUGACGCUGGGGAGGAGGAGCUGCUGCCACAGAGAAUCCCGUCAACAUCAUCUAAGCCAGGCCGGGCCUCAAGACUGAUCUCCCCGUAAGCUUCGCAGAAACGCAAGCCAGUCACUUCCUCUCAAAUGGACACGAUGACCAGGCUGAAUCCGUCUGGGAUUUGAGGAGAGAGGAAAAGGUUUCCACUGGCCAAGGAACCCAACUACAGCAAGUUUAGUUAAAAGACUAUUCAUUGGCAUCUGUUUGCAACUCCAGACCCAGGCAACACCUCAUUGUACAGGACAAGUGUUCUCCUGAGCUGAGCAGAAGAAGCGGCUUCAAAGGCAGAAAAGGGCUGAAGAAAACAGAAACAGAACCAA